GUUACCUUCAAAGGAUUUCCUUUUCUAAAAAAUUAUUUUAAAUGUCUAACUUUAUGUUAUUGCUCACGGGUAUUUGACUGAAUUGUUGAUUUAGGAUAAGUCAAUUCCUGGAGGGAAAUUACCAAAUAAAAUGAUAUGUAUUUCUUACCACAUCUCUUGAUGCUGAUUGGCAAACCUCUUUUCAUAAAAAGCCUGAUGACUUAAAUCCAGCGUUGAGUUGAAAAUUGCCUUCUUCCCUGCACGUUUUCUGUCCCCACUGUUGUCAUUAGCACCUGCUAGUCAUAGGGAAGUUUUCUCAAAGAACUUGGGAAGUAGGAGUAGAAGCAUGCCUUCUGAAAAAUCAAAGUUUAAAAUUAAUUCAGAAAGAAUUUUCAGCAUUCUUUUUGUUCAGUUUUAGAAUCAGGAUUAUGUUUACUCCUUAUUUUUAUUGGAAUAAAACAUACAGAAAGGUGCAUUCAUCAUAAAUGUACAGCUUGGUAAAUUUUCAAAAAGCAAGCAUAUCCAGGGCUGGGCGCGGUGGCUCACGCCUGUAAUCCCAGCACUUUGGGAGGCCAAGGCAGGCAGAUCAUGAGGUCAGAAGAUCGAGACCAUCCUGGCCAACACAGUGAAACCCCGUCUCUACUAAAAAUACAAAAAAUUAGCUGAGAGUGGUGGCGGGCACCUGUAGUCCCAGCUACUCGGAAGGCUGAGGCAGGAGAAUGACAUGAACCCGGGAGGCGGAGCUUUCAGUGAGCCGAGAUCGCGCCAGUGCACUCCAGGCUGGGCAACAGAGCGAGACUCGGUCUCAAAAAAAAAAAAAAAGAAAAAAAAAAAAGAAAAGCAAGCAUAUCCAGUAAACAUCACUUAGGUAAGGAAUCAGUAUAACACCCUCCCAACUGAGCUACUUCGGCCAGCUCACUUAGAUAAAGAUUCAGAGCAUCAUUAGCAUCUCAGAAACCUCACAUGUGUCCUUCCCAAUCACCACCCCGACAGAAAAUCACUUUUCUGACUUUUAUAUUUUAGUUUUGCUUGUUAUUGAACUUGAUAUAAAUGUAAUCAUCAACAUGUGCUCUUUUGUGUCUGGCUUCUUUUACUCCACAUUGUGAGAUUUGUUCAUAUUGUUAUCUGUAACAUUCGUUUGUUCUUUUCUGUUUGCUGUAUAAUAUUCCAUUGUCAUAAAUUAUCAGAAUUUCUUUAUUCAUACUACUGUUGGUGAACAUUUGGGUUUUUCUAGUUUUGGGUUUACAACAAAUAGUGCUGUUUUGAACAUACUUGUACAAGUCUUUUAGUGGAUAUAUGCCCUCAUUCCUCUUGGAUAUAGACCUAGGAAGCUAAAUUAAAACAGGUAACAACUAUAAUAAAUGCAAUGUGUGAUCUGAGAAUGGAUCCUGGGUUGCAGCAGGUGGUGUGUAAACUGUAUUGCAGUUUCUUAUAAAGCUGAAGAUGCACUUACUAUAUGACCACAUAACACUAUUUUAGGUAUUUAUCCAAGAUAAAUGAAUAUGUUUGUUUACACAAAGAUCUGUAUGUGAAUGUUUAUAGUAGCAUUUUUCACAUUAGUCUAAAACUGGAAGCAGACAAGAAUGACCAACAGAUGUUAAAACUAUUGGGUAAAAAACUAAUUGAGAACAGAAUAUUUGCAUAGUCUCAAAUUUUCCUAUGGAUAUCAUAGAUACUAUUCCUUCUAUGUUAAUUAGUUGGCAUCCUCUCGAGUUUCCCUUCUGCCUCUUUCUUUAAUGUUUUCUUAAAACUAUCAGUAUUUAGAUACUGUUAAUACAGUCUUUGUGGUUUUUUUUAUUCAGUGGGUAAAAAUGUACUCUUGUCAUUAUUUAUUUUGAUAUGCAAAUGGGGCCACUUUUGACCCAACCUUAAAGCAGUUUCUCUAUUUGACAUGCCCCGCUAGUCUUUGAGAGCUUCAGUACUCUCUGACACAACAGGAUAUUCUAGGUUCAUCUUUUCUCUUUCUCUUUUUUUUUUCUUUUCCUUUCUCCUUUCCUUUUCUUCCUUUUCUGUUUUCCUUCCUUCCUUCCUUUUUCUUUCUUUUUUCUUUUAUUUUGUCUCACUGUCACCCAGGCUGGAGUGCAGUGGCAGGAUCAUGGCUCACUGGAGCCUCAAACUCCUGGGCUCAAGUGAUCCUCUUGCCUCAGCCUCCCGAGUAGCUAGGGCUACAGACAUGUGCCACAAUGCCCAGCUAACUUCUCAAAAAUUUUUUUAUAGAGAUAGAGUCUCAUUAUGUUGCCCAGGCUUGUCUUGAACUCCUAACUGAAAGCAGUCUUCCCACCUCAGCCUCCUAAAGUGCUGAGAUUACAGUAGAUUUGUCUGUACAGUACUCUCUUCACCCCCAUCCUAGAAUAAUUGAUUUCUCCAAGGAGCCCUAUUUCCUUUUAGAGGGAAAUGAUACUUAGAAACCAAGAUCUUGAUGCUGGGUGUACUCAUGGUUACUGGAGUGGCAUUGCUUCUAGGUACUCUUGGGGGACAGAGCUAGGAGAUACAACUUGUAAAAAUUCAUGAGUUUAUACUGAUACCUGUAAUUCCCAUCAAACAUCUCGAUGUUCAUUUGUUCUCCCGUUUCAUAUUUGAAUGUCCCUUCUCCCUGAAUGAGACUCCAACAGUAUAUGUACUCACUUGCUAAAUCUUAUACAUACAAAUAAGAGUUUUCAGAAUUGCUACAUCAAUACCACUCUCAAAAUACGUAGUAACUAAAGCCCAAGAUUUCUUUGAAGUUCUUUUUGUCCUUAGAAAGUAUCCUAUUGAGAGUACACAGAGAACCAUGUUCAAAAGUUUCUUGAAUUAAUUUUUUUCUUAUGUGUUUAUGUUAUCUACUUGAUACACAGUUAGGUUUAACUGAUUUCUGUUGGCAUUCCAUUUUAGUUGUUUCUCCAUUCUUAUUAAUUUACUUUUUUUGAUAUUUAGGAGAGGGGAAUAGUUUAAAAGUCAAAGCUAUUAAAAAGAUACACUCAUAAAAGUUCCACUCCGCUUCCUAUCCCUGCUACCUCCUUCUCACCCAUCCUCUGAGGUAAACAACUUCUCCUUCUUAUUUUUUUUGUAAGAAUAAACAGAUACAAAUAUCUGCUUUCCCCCUUUUUUCUUAUAUAAAAUGUAGUAUACUAUAUACCGAUGUGUCUGACGUACGAUGGUUCAAUUUACAAUUAUUUGACUUUAUCAUAUGUGACAGCAGUAUACAUUCACUGAAAACAAUACUUGCAGUUUUGAAUUUUGAUCCUUUCCUAGGCUAGAGAAAUGUGAUAUGAUACUUUCACCAUGCUGGGCAGUGCAGCUCCCAGUCAGCCAUGUGAUCACGGGGGUAAACAACCCAUACUACAAUGUACUCUGUUGCCAGUGUUUUUUUGAAUAUUGCCUUCUAUGUUCCGCAUCCCAUCAUGUCAACAAAAUGCCCAUUUUCAACUUACGAUAUGUUCAAUUUAUGAUGGGUUUAUCAGGCGUAACCACAUCAUAAGUUGAGAAGCAUCCGUACACCCUUUUGCACAAUGUUUUUUUCGCUCAGUAUAUCUGUUUUUUGUGGUUUCAUUGUUUGUUUGUUUGUUUGUUUUAGACAGAGUCUCACUCUGUCUCCCAGGCUGGAGCGCAGUGGCAUGAUCUCUGCUCACUGCAGCCUCGGAUGCCAGGUUCAAGCGAUUCUCCUGCCUCAGCCUUCUGAAUAGCUGGGAUUACAGGCAUGCACCUCCACACCUGGCUAAUUUUUGUGUUUUUAGUAGAGAUGGGGUUUCGCCAUGUUGGCCAGGCUAGUCUUGAACUCCUGGCCUCAAGUGAUCCACUCGCCUCAGCCUCCCAAAGUGUUGGGAUUACAGGUGUGAGCCACUGCCCCAGCUCUUCCACUUGAUAUAUCUUGAAAAUCACUGUAUAUCGAUUUAUAGAGAUCUUCCUCAUUAUUACUUUUUUACAGCUAUAUAGUAUUCUACUAAGUGGAAGUACCAUGAUUUAUUUAGAUAAUUUCUUACAUUAGAUUAUUUGUAAUACUUUGCCAUCAUGAAUAAUGCCAAAAUGGUAAUCUUGUGAUAUUGUUGGAAUAUAUCUUCAGGGUAAAUUCCUAGGUUCUAUAGAAGGACUAAUUAAAUAGACAUUUCUAGAAAGAUUGAUCAAGACAAAAGAGAGAAGAUACAAAUAAACAGCAUUAGCAAUAAGAAGUACAAUAAUUAUAGAUGCAGUAGCAGAAUAAAAGAUCAGAAUGCAUUGAACAACUCAAGGCAAUACAUUUAAAGACUUAGAAGAAAUGAAUACAUUUCUGGGAAAAUACAGCUUACCAAAACUGCCUAGAAAGACGAAAUAUAGAGUCUUUUUUUUUUUUUUCUUUUUUGGAGACAAGGUAUCACUCUGUCUCCCAGGCUGGAGUGCAGUGAUGCGAUCAUGGCCCACUGCAGCCUCAAAUUCCUGGGAUCAAGUGAUCCCUCCUGCCUCAGCCUCCCAAAGUGUUGGGAUUACAGGCAUGAGCCAUCACACCUGGCCUUAAAAUCUGAAUAGACCUAUAAAUAAAAGGAAAUUUAAUUUGCAGUUUAAAAUAUUUGCACCAAAGAACAAACAAACCCAAAAUUAUCACUGGGCUCUGAUCUUCCAGGUGACUGUUCCCAAAGGAAGAGCUGAACUUAAUUUUAUAAAGCUUUCAAAAGCAAAAAAAGUGCCAGGCAUAGUGGUUCAUGCCUCUUAUCCCAGCACUUUGAGAGGCCAAGGCAGGGGAAUCGCUUGAGCCCAGGAGUUUGAGACCAGCCUGGGCAACAUAGCAAGACCUUGUCUCUAUUGAAAAAAAACAAAAAAGAGAGAGGAAAAAAAGGAAAUCUUCCCAGUUCAUUUAUGAGGCACUUUGAGACCAAUACCAAAGUAAGUAUAAGAAAGAAAAAGUAUAAGCCAAUAUCACUUAUGAAAUUACAUGUAAAAAUUAUGAAAUAAAAUAAUAGCAAUCUGAUUCCAGCAAUGCAUCAAAGUACAUCAUAACGAAAUGCUUUUUACCAAAUAUGAUAACAUUAGAGAAUGUAUUAAUAUUAGUUGAUCACACUGAGAAACUGAAGGAGAAACAUGAUUUCCCCAGUAAAUACAGAAAAAGUAUUUGAUAAAAUAAAACAUAACUCAAUUUACGGUAAUUAUUAUGAUAAAAACAACAGAUUAGGUCUAGAAGGAACUUUCUUAACUUGAUAGUGUCUAUAAAAAAUGAUUUAAACCAACCAUAGCAAGCACCUGUCUUAAAGAUGAAACAAAGGUAAAUUCUUAAUGUGUUGGACAGGGUAAGAAUGACUGAUAAUGUUGCUUCUAUCUAACAUUUUCCUGGAAGACUAGCAAGUGCAGUAAGACAUGAAAAAAUAAACAAUGGUAUUAGAGUUGGAAAGAAAGAAAGAAAAACAUUUAUGAGAAUAGACAAACUAUUGGAACUAUUUUAAAAGAUUUCUGGAUGUAAGACAAGUAUACAAAAAAAUUUUGUAUGCCUAUAAACCUAAAACAAACAUCUAGAAUAUGAUUUUUAUAAAAGAUGUCAUUUACAAUAGUAUUUUAGACAAUAAGGGAUAUAAAAAUAAAUUCAAGAAACAAUAUUCAAGACCUUAAUAGAGAAACAUAUACAACUUUAUUGAAGGACAUUGGAGAUCUAAAUAAGUGGAGAGCUGUAUCAUUUUGUUUUCUUCAAAUUAAAAUCUAUAUUCAAUGUAAUUUCAGUCAUAAUCUCAUCAGGAUUUGUUAUGGAACUUGACAGGUUGCUAUGAAAAGUUACAUGAAUACAAGCUAGGGGAUAAGAAUAGUGAAGACAAUUUUCAAGAAUAAGGUGGUGGGAGAGGACUCACCCUACCAAAUAUUAUAAGACAACUUGGUUUUGGUACAGUGAUAAGCAAAUAUGUCAGUGGAACAGAACAGAGAACCUGGAGACAUGCCCAUAUGGAAAUUUAAGAUUUGACUAAGGUGGCAUUACAAAUCAGUGGAGAAAAAGGACAAACCAUCUAAUAGUAUUAUAUGGUGCUGGGACAGCUGGCUACCUAUGUGGAAAAGAAAGAAAGUCAGAUCUCUACAUCACCUUAUAUGCAAAAGGACAUUUAAAUAUGAAAAGAAAAUAUUUGCAGCAAUGUUUAUGAUAGCAAAAAAUUGGAAACCGCUGAAAUUCCAUCAACAAGAAAAUGAAUCAGUCAUGGCUUAGUCACGCAGUGGAAUACUUAACACAGGAAAGAAAACAAUGAGCAAGGGCGACAUUUAUGAAUAUGGAUAAAUCUCAAAAACAAUGUUGAAUGAAAAAAUAGUAGCAGAGUAGUAAUGCUCUCUGUCAUUUAUAUAAUGUUAAAAAAUAUGCAAAGCAAUAUUAUAUAUAGUUUAUGAGUACAUUUUUAAUGCAUCCUUAAAAACAUCCAUGGGAACAAUAAGCACCGGCUUCGUGAUACUGUUUACCUCUGGGGAGAGAAAGCAAUGAAAUUUAGCAGGAGAACAGGGGGUGCUUCAUUUGUAUUUAUAGUGUUUCAUCUUUUAAAAACAUCUUCACAAAAAAAUUGACGAAAUAAGAUUGGACAUAUAUGGAUGCUCGUUAUCCUCUAGACUUUUCUGUAUCCUUGAAAUAUUUCAUUUUAUACAUAUAUUUAAAAAUAUAUAAAUAUAUCGAGAGAGGUAUUAUUCACAUCUCUAUUUUUAUGUCGUUGCCCUGAAACUACUACAUUGUUCUGAAAUAUUCUGAGAAAGGUUUAUAAAUUUCCCACCAUAAUUGUGUGUAUGUGCAAGUGUGUGUUUCAUUUCUUUGCAUUUCUUGCGGUUGUCUUAUAGAUUUCAAUGCAAUGGUGUUUGGUGUGUUCAGACAGUUUUGUCUUCUUGAUAUCAUCUCUAUCUCUCAAACACACACACACACACACACACACACACACACACACACGAAAUAUCCCUGUUUCAUUGAUUAUUCUUGCCUUGAAUUUUCUCUUAAUUUUUUUAUUCCUGUUUUGCUUAAAUGACUUGCAUUAUAUAUCAUUGCCUGUACCUUUAUGUCAGAGUCAUUUAAUUUCUGUGCCAUUUUGUAUUACACAUCUCUUUUGGACAAAAUAUAGCUGAAUUCUACUUUUGCUGCAUAAAAAGGCUACUUACAUUUAACUCAGUUUGAGAAACACUGCCUUUAAUUUUAAUGAGAAAUGGAACCCAUUCGUAUUUAUUCUGCCACUGAUGGUUAUGACUGCAUAUCCCAGCUGUCAAAUGGGUUUUCUUGUGGCUGUUAGCUUUUUAUUAAGCUUUGUUAUUGUUUCCACUUCUUCUCCUGAUUUAUACUAGAGGAUAAGUCCUUUAGUUUCUUUAGUUUGGAAGGGGAGCAUCCUAAUUUUCUCUACUUACCAUUCAUCUGUCAUAUUUUAUAGUACAGAGAGGUUGCAUUAUAUAUACUUUAUAAUCAAGAGUCAAAUAAUAAAUAUGACUUACCUAACGCUACCCACAUAGGAGGAGACCUGUAGCAUGUAAUUUCACUCUACUCUCUACUUGAUCAUUUUACCUCCCUCCACACACCUGCCAAGUUUUUGGAAAUCAUCUGGAAUUUCAUCAGAUUUAUAAAGCCUUUCUUAACACCUGUAUUAUACUUAACAAUUAUUUAGGCUGUGUGUGUGUGUGUGUGUGUGUGUGUGUGUGUGUGUGUGUGUGUGUGUGUGUGUUGUUUGGCUAGAAUACCCUUUAGAACAAUAUUCAGAAUAUAGGGGUAAUAUGCCUUUCUGAAUCUUUGCAUAUCUGGAGAUCUUUUUUUCUCUUUCAUACAUGAACAAUAGUUGGCCUGAUUUUCUUUUCCUUUCUAGGUAAACUUCCCCCUUCCCCUGGAAUCGUUUGAUAUUUUUUCUCUUUAUCUUUGGAGUUCAGAAAUAUCUCCUAGGAUUUAAAAAAAAAUCUUCUCUGUAUAUUUUAUAAAAUUAUACAAGUAAUACAUGAAUAUGUUCUUUGGGAUUCAAAAAUACCACCAAGAAUGUUUUAUAAAGAAUAUUUUAAAAGUUAUACAAGUAAUACAUGAAUGUUCUCUCAGCUCAGAAUUUAAACAAUACAACCAAAAGUAGAGGUCCUUGUGAUGCUCCUCAACCCCGAAUCUCUGCCCAGAGUAACCCCUGUAAGAAGUUUGGUGUGUGCCUCUAGGCUUUUUCUAGAUAUCUGCAUACAUUUAAGUCAUUUAAAGUGUUUUUUUGUUUUGUGGAGUUUUCCAUUAAAAUAUAACAAUAUACUUAUUUAUCUAUGGUUAGCUUAUGACACUUAGCAGUUUGCCUCCAUAACAAUUGGCUUCAUUUAUUUAUUUGUUUGUUUUCUCUGCUGAAUGGCACCCUCUCCUCCAGUGUGAUGGGUUGAGGUUAUGUCCGAUUAUUUGCUAUUAGAAACGAUUGUGCUGUGAAAAAUCUUUGUAAAGCCAUUUUUGCACAAGGAUAAGGGUUUCUCAAGGGCACUUCCAGAAAGUGAAUUUGCUGCAUAAAAAGCUACACACAUUUACAUCUUUAACAGAUAUGGCUGAAUUUCCCUUCAAAAAGACUAUAUUUCUCCAUGCUUUUGUAACACUAGUAUUCAUUCAUCUUUUUAACGUUUUUGCCAAUCUGAUGGGAGAAGGGGUAGAUUCUCAUUAUACUUUAAAUUUUUGUUUCCAUAAACACCAAAAAGAUGUUGGUGCUUUUUAAAUCUAUUUAUUGGUGAUUUGUAUUCCCCCUUCUCUGAAUUACCUGUUCACACUCUUUGUCCAUUCUUCCAUGGGCCAUAUUUUUCUAGUUGAUUUGUAAGAGCUCUUUAUGUAUUUUGGACAUUAAUCCUUUGGAUUAUAUAUAUGGCACGUCUCUUCUCCAGCUGUUUCUCCCUUAUUCUCUGGUGUCUUUGUUAUAGAAAAGUUUUAAAUAUUGAUGUCUUUAAAUAUAAUGAUCUCUCUUUUGAUUGAUUUGAGUCUUUUUCCACUCCACACCUCCAUCUCCUUUAUUAAAAUAACUGAGGCCAGGAGUGGUGGCUCACACGUGUAAUCCCAGUACUUUGGGAGGCCAAGGUGGGAGGAUUGCUUGAGCCCAGGAGUUUGAGACCAGUCUGGGCAACAUAGGGAGAUCCCAUCUCUACAAAAAAGUUUAAAAAUUAGCCAGGCAUGGUGGUGUGCGCCUGUGGUCUCAGUUACUCAGGAGGCUGAGGUGGGAGGAUUACUUGAGCUGAGGAGUUUGAGGCUUCAGUGAGUUUUGAUUGUGCCACUGCACAAUUGAUUGAUUUGUGAAAGCUAUGUCGUGGAAUCAGCUCUUGGAUGUAUUUAUCAAUUCUGUAUUCUAAUUAUUCUUUUAUGCUUUUGUUUUUAUAAUAUCCUUUUUCCCUCCUUUCUUUGUUUGUGGUUGGUUUUCUUACUUUUUGCCUUGAAUGCUUAGUUUAUUUAUUUUCCUUCUAAUGAAAGUGUUUAGUGCUGUGAAUUUGCCUCUGAAUAUAUCUAAAACAUGGCUAUAUCUGAUAUGUUUUCAUAUAUAGUGAUCUUAUGUUGUUAUUUUCUAAAUAAGCUUGGAAUUAUAAUUUCAAAUCCUCUUUAGUCAAUUAGAAGAACACAUUUUAAAUUCUAAGUGGUUGGGUUUUAAAAAAUGUGUUCUUUUGUUAUGUUCUAGCUUAUCUUAUUUUCAGAGAAAGUGACCUCUACAAUUUUGCCAAAUUUUGCCAUUUGGGAUUUAUUGUGGUUUUCUUUGUAGCAUGGUAUCUGAAUAUGUCAGUUAGGAUCAGGGUCAUCUGCAUGUAACAAAGUCCAAAAUAACAGUGGCUUAAACAAAAUAGUUUAUUUCUCUCUUAUGUCAAAGAAGUUUGGAGAUAAGGAGGACCCCCACAAUAUCAUCAGGAACCCAGACUUCCAUUUUUCUACACCACCAUUUUCAGUACUGGCUUCUAUUGUAAAAAGUCACCCCAUAGCCCGAGAUGGCUGCUGGAGUUCCAGCCAUCACAUUCACAUUCCAGAGAGGAGAAAGAAAAGAAGAAUAGUAGGCUAUAUCUCCCAACCGAAAUACAUUUAUCUUUAAGAUACAGCCUCUCUUUAAGGAGCCUUUUGGGAAUUUCCAUGCAACAUUCCAUGUUCUGCAUAUAUUUCAUUCAGAAUUUAGCUGGGUAUAUACAUUUCAUUUAGAAUUUAGCUGGGUAUAUAGUUGAUCCCCAAUUAUAUAAGGAUUCUAUUAGUAAGAAAGAAGGGAAGAAUGGUGAUAGGCAAACAAGAAUGCCAUAAUAACUUUUAUAAAUAUUCCAUCAACACUUUAAAAGAUAUACAAUUUGGUGGUAUCAUCACUUUGUUAAACUGGGUAACUGGGUAUUUGAAAUGGCAAAAGUUGAAUGUGGGGCUCAUUUUUCCCUGAGAAGCCAAAUGGACCCUUACACAAUUAUCAGCUGCCAUCAAGUGGGAAGAACUGGCCAACCCAGCAGAUGCCAGCACUGUCUUCCAUUCACAAGGAGUUACUGAGGCUCACCCCAUACGUUUCCACUCUCUCCUUACCCUACCCUAGACAAGCCCAUCAUUGCAGGGUCACUAUGGCCCUGUAGGCAGGUGGGAGACUUGGAUGCUGAUCCACUCCCCUGCCAUUCAGGGGUUCAUUGCUGAAGCAGAUGCUGUGAAUGUCCUAACAGGACCGAUCCUUUCCCAGCCUGGAGCAAGCAUCCUUCUGUGAAUAAACGCAUGUGGUGUAAGAAGAGGAUGCCCUGGCCCCCAAGAUCCUGUGUGAAUACUUGAUGGAGGCGAAAUGGGGAGCAUGGCCUGGGAUACCUCCCAGCAGCUCUACGAGGCAGCCAGAACUGAAAUGACAAUGCUCACCUAUCCCCACUUCCUAGCCCCAGAUAUCUGUAUCCUGAGGUUCAGAACAGUCAAGCCAGAGGCUGAGUCUCCAGAGGAACCACUGGAUUUGAAGAACCUGGGCCUCCCACCUUGGCACUUUCACAUGGACAAGCAACAUGGUCCGUCACCACUCCUCCCCACCCCUGGGCCACUGCCUCGUCUUGUGUGGAAAGAGCAUGCUGGCUGCUCCAGUGCUUCCUGCAGCCCCAUCAGCUUCUCCAAGGCCCUGCUGUCGCCUGGUAGCACUGAACAUUUAAGCAAAUGCCUGGUCUGAAGGGGAGUGAAGGUUCCAGUCCACACCUUAGGAAAGCCCCUGGUCUGAUGGAGUGGAGCUCUGUUCUCUGAGGGAUAAGACUUGUGUUCCCGAGAUGGAGAUGAGACGAUGUUCAGUGGUGUAAUGCUGACUAUGGAGCUCAGAGAAAGAAACCAGCAAAGGCCAGGAAAGAACUACAUGGGAGGAGAAGAAUGGCACUGGCAACCGGCAUCCAGGGAGCGCUUGCUGCAGGCUGCAUGCUGAGGCGAAUUUCCUCCACACCUUACUUCCUCUCAUAACCAUCCUGAGAGGUACUGGGAUUGUCCUUCACUUAACAGGUGAAGAAACAGAGGCACAAAGAGCUCCAGUGACUUGCCUGUGGUCACAUAGCUGGUAAAUGCUGGCACCAGCAUUUGACAACCAGAGCCUGAGCGUUAAUCACUAGGUCCAUGGUAGGACACCCAAAAUGAAGGGGAGCAGCAAAGGUACAGACGGAUGUGCAGAGAGCACAGCUGCCAGGGGGCUGGAGCGGCAGAGGGGACUUCAGCCAUGUUAUGAACUAUAAAUGGGAGCAGAGAUAGGAUGUGUGAUUUGGCCAAGGUCCUGCAGCGCGAUAGGGUGGAGGCUGGGCUAGAAAUCAUAGCUGUUGGCUCCUGUUUCCCUCUCCUUCCACUUUCCUUGGUACCAGCCACAUUCUGGGCGCUCUCCACCCGUCUGCGUGGCCACGCCUGAAUCGUUUCCCUCUUGGAAGAGGUGCAAUCCACUGGCAUUGAAGCUGGGUGGACUGGCUCCCUCUCUCUAUCCAUCUCUUUCUUCCUUUCCCCUGCCAUGUUCUGGAAAGGGCAGCGGGAGGGAAUGUGGGCAGGUUGCACCAGAGAUAUACAUCUGAGAGCUGAAGGGAACAUUUAUUUUUAAUUUAGACUUAAAAAGAAAAAAGGAAGUUAUAAAAUAUCUGCUCUUGCUCCUGGGAUUGUGCAGAUGGUGCUGCGUUUUGCCUAAUAGGGAAUUGGGCUGGCAUCCUCGUGCUUUUGGUCCCCGCCUGACUGUAAGGACCUGGAGGGCAGGAUCCCUGCUUCCCUGCCUCAGCCUCACAUGGCCCCCUAAGGCUCCAUUUGGCCGAUGCAGCUCGGUGUUCCUGUCUUCUAACCUCACCCUCUCCACACUCCCUCUGGUCUCCCAGACCUCCUCUGCAGUCAGACCAGUCUCUCUGCUGUCUCGGCUGUCCCUGCUCCUGUGUCGGCGCCCCCUCGGCUCACUCCUACCUCCGCCUUCGUUAGAUAGCCGGGACACACUCACCCCUCCCUUCCUAAACUCCUGUUUGGAUGUUAAAAUUUAUCAACUUUACACAUAACCAAAUACCUCAUUAAACCAUCUUGUCAUUUUCAAGCCUCGGUGUUAUAAAGGAUGUCAUCCUCCA